UCACAAUGCCCCUUGUGACUUUGGCCAGGCAUGAGAGUCAGAACACAUAGGUGCUUGGUUCAACUAUAUGUCACUAUCCCAUUUGUGGCCUUGACCUAGGUGAGAGAGUCGCAUGACCUAUGGUCUGGGCCCAGGUAUAUGUCACAAUGUUCUCUGUGGAUUGGGCCCAUGCAGGACAGCCACAUCACCUUAAUUCCUGAGCCCAGGUCCAGGCAAAGUGUAACAUCACCUAGGUGCUGGACCCAGGUACAUGCCACAAUCUACCCUCUGGGUGGGACCCAGGAGGAAGAGCAACACAACUCAGAAGAUGGGUUCAGACAAUCAAAGUAGCACAAGCAAAGCCAGAAAUGCUCCACCCUGAUUGCAAACACACCAGUGCCCUUCUAGUGAGAAUAUAUGUGUGAG
rnacentral:lncRNA from 1 species